UGCCUAAGGGGGCGGGGCCAGCACCCUCUGGUCUCACUGCCGGAAGUGCCUGAGGAGGCGUGUUUCCUCACUGCCAUCAAGUACUUGUGAGAACAGUGAACGUUUCCUUCACUGCCGGGAAGCGCUUGAGAGUCCCGGGCGUUUCCUCUGCCAGAAAGUACCACUGAGGCUGGCAGGUGUUUUCUCACCACCCGGAAGUACUUGGGGAUCCUGAGGCCAUUCCUCACUACCUGGAUAUGCUUGGGGUUUCCCGGGCGUCACCUCCUCAGUCCCCAGAAGUUCCCGUGGGCUCAGCAGGCAUUUCCUCAAGGCCUGGGUGUACUUGGAGGCCGCAGGCGUCUCCUCGCUGCCCAAUGUAACUGGGGGUCCAGGCGCCCCUCACUGCCCUGAAGAGCCUGGCUUCCUGCCCGCACGUGGGAGGGCACCUCAAAGCGCGUGUCCUCAAGGAGCCGCCCCAGCCUCUGCUCUUAGCACCCACCCUGGCCUGCCGGGAGGAUCUGGAGACACUUGACAAAGUGGCUGUGGAGCAGAAGCCCCAUAUUUCUCUGCUUCUCCCUGCUUUUGCUCUUGUAUCUUCUCUGCAUAUUGGCAGAAUGCCAGCCCUUGAAUGUGGGGCUCACUGGAAUCCAGGCGUACCUCUUCUUGAUCCGUCGCAUCUGCAAGGAUUAUAUUUCCAAAAGAGGCCCUGCUCUGAGGUUCUGGCAGAUGUGGAUUUGGGAGGAGCACAUGUCUGUCUUGGAGAGAGAACCUGUAAAGAGACAAAAAAUGAAAGUGAGCACCUGAGGAGGAGAGUGAGAGGGAGGCAGCGGGAAGAGGCUGCAAGCUCCAAAUGAUCCGAUGAUGAAAAAAGAAGGUUACCUGUGUGUUUGUCAACAAGAUGAAAUAAAUAAGAGCAAAAAAAAAAAAAAAAAAAGGACAGCAGUCAAAGGCAAUCAAAUAUGUAUUUAAUUAAAGCAAACAUAAAAAUAAAAGUUACAUGUUGAAUCAAUAAACAGCACUUUUUUCUACAUGCAUUUUGAACAAGACAGAU